UGCAAGUCGAACGAUGAAGCUUCUAGCUUGCUAGAAGUGGAUUAGUGGCGCACGGGUGAGUAAGGUAUAGUUAAUCUGCCCUACACAAGAGGACAACAGUUGGAAACGACUGCUAAUACUCUAUACUCCUGCUUAACACAAGUUGAGUAGGGAAAGUUUUUCGGUGUAGGAUGAGACUAUAUAGUAUCAGCUAGUUGGUAAGGUAAUGGCUUACCAAGGCUAUGACGCUUAACUGGUCUGAGAGGAUGAUCAGUCACACUGGAACUGAGACACGGUCCAGACUCCUACGGGAGGCAGCAGUAGGGAAUAUUGCGCAAUGGGGGAAACCCUGACGCAGCAACGCCGCGUGGAGGAUGACACUUUUCGGAGCGUAAACUCCUUUUCUUAGGGAAGAAUUCUGACGGUACCUAAGGAAUAAGCACCGGCUAACUCCGUGCCAGCAGCCGCGGUAAUACGGAGGGUGCAAGCGUUACUCGGAAUCACUGGGCGUAAAGGGCGCGUAGGCGGAUUAUCAAGUCUCUUGUGAAAUCUAAUGGCUUAACCAUUAAACUGCUUGGGAAACUGAUAGUCUAGAGUGAGGGAGAGGCAGAUGGAAUUGGUGGUGUAGGGGUAAAAUCCGUAGAUAUCACCAAGAAUACCCAUUGCGAAGGCGAUCUGCUGGAACUCAACUGACGCUAAGGCGCGAAAGCGUGGGGAGCAAACAGGAUUAGAUACCCUGGUAGUCCACGCCCUAAACGAUGUACACUAGUUGUUGGGGUGCUAGUCAUCUCAGUAAUGCAGCUAACGCAUUAAGUGUACCGCCUGGGGAGUACGGUCGCAAGAUUAAAACUCAAAGGAAUAGACGGGGACCCGCACAAGCGGUGGAGCAUGUGGUUUAAUUCGAAGAUACGCGAAGAACCUUACCUGGGCUUGAUAUCCUAAGAACCUUUUAGAGAUAAGAGGGUGCUAGCUUGCUAGAACUUAGAGACAGGUGCUGCACGGCUGUCGUCAGCUCGUGUCGUGAGAUGUUGGGUUAAGUCCCGCAACGAGCGCAACCCACGUAUUUAGUUGCUAACGGUUCGGCCGAGCACUCUAAAUAGACUGCCUUCGUAAGGAGGAGGAAGGUGUGGACGACGUCAAGUCAUCAUGGCCCUUAUGCCCAGGGCGACACACGUGCUACAAUGGCAUAUACAAUGAGACGCAAUACCGCGAGGUGGAGCAAAUCUAUAAAAUAUGUCCCAGUUCGGAUUGUUCUCUGCAACUCGAGAGCAUGAAGCCGGAAUCGCUAGUAAUCGUAGAUCAGCCAUGCUACGGUGAAUACGUUCCCGGGUCUUGUACUCACCGCCCGUCACACCAUGGGAGUUGAUUUCACUCGAAGCCGGAAUACUAAACUAGUUACCGUCCACAGUGGAAUCAGCGACUGG
rnacentral:rRNA from 1 species